rnacentral:tRNA from 1 species
GCCCAGGUGGUGGAAUAGGCAGACACGCCGUCUUGAGGGGGCGGUGCCGCAAGGCGUAUGAGUUCAAAUCUCAUCCUGGGCACCA